rnacentral:rRNA from 1 species
GACCUGAUCGGGUGGUCUUGCCGAAAGGUAAGCACUGCUCUGGUCGGGUCUUUCCUUCUGGAGAACCAGCGUGCGCUUAAAUGAGUGCGCUGGGGAUCCAGGACUUUUACUUUGAAAAAAUUAGAGUGUUCAAAGCAGGCCUAUGCCUGAAUACAUUAGCAUGGAAUAAUAAAAUAGGAC